rnacentral:rRNA from 1 species
GCUUGUACAGGUGCUGCAUGGCUGUCGUCAGCUCGUGUCGUGAGAUGUUCGGUUAAGUCCGCUAACGAGCGCAACCCUCGCUGUGUGUUACAAGUGUCACACGGAACUGCCGGGUCAUAAACCGGAGGAAGGUGGGGAUGACGUCAAGUCAGCAUGGCCUUUAUAUCCUGGGCUACACACACGCUACAAUGGGAAGGGACAAUAGGUUGCGAAGCCGCGAGGCGGAGCCAAUCCAGCAAAACUUCCCUCAGUUCAGAUUGCAGGCUGCAACUCGCCUGCAUGAAGUUGGAGUUGCUAGUAAACGCAGGUCAGCCAUACUGCGUUGAAUACGUUCCCGGGGCUU